CGAUCAGCCCAUUAAAAACCAAUAGCAUAUUUAAAAUCAGCCCAUUACUCUAACUUAGUAUAUAGUCGCAUUAGUAGAGAAAGAAGCCAUGUACAUCUCUUUUAACAAUCACUUUCAGCACGGCGGAGGUGUGGAGCAGACCUCACUGGGGCACGCCUAGCACCUUGGUGAACAUGGCGAUGCUUAGGUCGGUGUGACAUAUAGGAGGAAGAGAUUUGGACAUAAGAAGAGUGAAUACUUUGGAGAGAAAAGCAGUUAGGGAGUUAUUGAAGCUUGUAGAAAGAGAUGAUUCUUAUUGAUUUCAAUUAAUCUGUACAU
rnacentral:misc_RNA from 1 species